rnacentral:tRNA from 1 species
GGUGUUGUGGCUCAGUAGUAGAGCACUUGCCUAUCAAGUGUGAGGCCCUGGGUUUGAUCCUCAGCACCACAU